rnacentral:rRNA from 1 species
GAUGAACGCUGGCGGCGUGCCUAAUACAUGCAAGUCGAGCGAACAGAUGAGGAGCUUGCUCCUCUGACGUUAGCGGCGGACGGGUGAGUAACACGUGGAUAACCUACCUAUAAGACUGGGAUAACUUCGGGAAACCGGAGCUAAUACCGGAUAAUAUAUUGAACCGCAUGGUUCAAUAGUGAAAGACGGUUUUGCUGUCACUUAUAGAUGGAUCCGCGCCGCAUUAGCUAGUUGGUAAGGUAACGGCUUACCACGGCAACGAUGCGUAGCCGACCUGAGAGGGGGAUAGGCCACACGGGAACGUGGCCACGGUCAAGACUCCUGCGGGAGGCACCAGUAGGGAAUCGGCCGCAAUGGGCGAAAGCCUGACGGAGCAACGCCGCGUGAGUGAUGAAGGUCUUCGGAUCGUAAAACUCGGUUAUUAGGGAAAAACAAAUGUGUAAGUAACUAUGCACGUCUUGACGGUACCUGGUCAGAAAGCCACGGCUAACUACGUG